UUAGAGGACCGGAUGUCGCCAUAACCGUGUGAUUGUCCCCAGUGUUGUGUCCAAUUUAUAACUCGGGCCGCUAAGUGAGUCAAUACGAACUCUGAGCUUGAGCGUUGCUGAGGAUCUCUUCCAGUGCUUGGAAAUGACGUAAAGGCUUUCUUGGAGCAUCAUUUAGACAAAUUAAGUCAAAUUACCAAAAGCACCUGCUGGGCUCCUGUUAGAUGAUAUCAUGAGUUCUAAAGGAAAGUACGUAGACUUGGACAGACUCAGCUCCACAGCAAAUAACGUUUGAAGGAAAGUUUCAAGAGUGUCUAUAAUUGUACCUUCCUGAAAACAGAAGGUUCUGAAAUCUCCCACAAAACACCUGAUAAAUUUGGGCAUUAUAUUUAGGGAAAACAUUUUGAAGUAUGCAGCAGUGGAAACAACAAAGGACUUAAUGUCAAAAGACCUGCUUCAAGCCUGGUUGAAAUAAUCUUGCUUAUACACUUGGGGACGCUUAUGGAAGUGUUGGGGAGGGUCGAGGACCCCAAAGGGGAUAGGAACUCCACAGGAAGACCAACGGAGCCAACUAACCUGGAGCCCUGGGAGCUCUUAGAGACUGAUCCACCAAACAAAGAGCAUACACGGGCUGCAACAAGGCCCCAGGCACGCAGCUCAGUCUCCAUAAAAGAGCACGCUGUACUUGAAGCUGCGCUUGAAAUGGCAGAUGUUGAAACUCUCACAUUUUAUGAUCCUUCUGAAUGGUCGGCUUCCAGUGGAAGAGCUCCACGCAGCUUCCUUAUAUCUGAUGAUUUGAACACACUGUUCACAUCUGCAGCUCCACUCCACUCCCUGCUACAUUCUGUUCCCUGCUCUAGGAGCCAACGUCUUUAGAUAAAGAACAUAAUCUGUU
rnacentral:lncRNA from 1 species